rnacentral:misc_RNA from 1 species
AGUACACCCAUCAAGGAGCCAUUUAUUUGUCAAGUAUGUAUUAAUGAAGAAUAUAAAGAUUGGAAUAUUAUCGAAGAAUUGAUGACAUCUUUGCUCUACUCGAGCAGUUUCGACUGGAGCAUUCUUACGGAGUGUUUAUUGAUAUAUCAGACAAAAACUACUUUUUUAUAACAGUAACAAAAGCCAUGUAGAACUUUUAUAUCAUUCUAGUAUAUCAACUACUCCUUGAAUAUCAGUGCAAAGAACUUGAAAAUAAUUGAAAAAUGAGUUCGGAUACAGCGGGACCCUGCAGAUUGGAUUAUAGCAAAGAAGCUCUUUGGGAACGUAGCUAUCUAAAGAAAAAGUGCAAGGAGUUGAAUAUAGAAGAAGACUAUACUUUGUACGACAGACGUCUAUGCAUCAAUCAUCUCGGCGUAUUCUUCUUCGUACACUCGACUGCGACCGUGAUCAAGUGUAUCAUGCUGUUGGUGACGUGUGCGUACCCCGAAUUCAUUCAUGUGGAUGUGGGAGUCUAUAUGACAUCCGCAAUACUCACUGUCUCCAUAUUGACCAUCAACUUCUCAGAAUCAAUCGUGUCGCGUAACGAAUGGAUUAUUUACGUAUCUUCGGCAGUUGCUGCGGCACUCAUAGUUAUGGCGGAUGUGACUAUUUUUUUGUACCACCAUUAUAUACACGAAUGGACUGUUCUACCGUUCUACGACGCAUACGUUUUAUAUGUUAUAUAUUUGUGUUUUCCCAUACCCGCCCUUAGAGCUCCGUUUAUAUUGGCGUCAUUUGUAUCUAUUACCUACCUUAUUAUUAUUUACUUUUACACUCUUGACAACGAGUUCAUCAGUUUUCAACAAGCCCCAUAUAUGAUCGUGGAGGUUCUGCACUUUACGUGCUGCCACUUAGUAGGGUUAUUCUAUCGCUUGCUGAACGAGAUUACGGUGCGCUCGUCGUUUAUUGAUCGACAUCAGUAUGUAAUGGAGGAGAUUUCGCUGCGAGAGGCAAAGAAUAAGGAGAAACAAUUGCUUCACGGCAUUUUGCCUCCUGACAUAGCACGACCAUUCGAGAAAGAAAUACGCUAUCGUAUCGGGAAAACUAACAAGAUACACGGCGAAUAUCAAAGCAGUAACUUAAACCAAGGCAUUAUGGCCCUUCAAUUCCAUCCGGAUGUUACUAUCCUGUAUGCAGACGUGGUCAACUACACGCAUCUCACCACAACACUUACUGUCAACUCUCUGGUGGCAUUGCUCCAUGAUCUCUAUGGUAGAUUCGACAUGGCUGCCCGUACCUUUAAAGUACAGCGCAUUAAGUUCCUGGGCGACUGCUACUACUGUGUGGCGGGUCUUACGCGACCCGAUCCCGAUCAUGCCAAAUGCUGCAUAGAGCUGGCCCAAAGAAUGAUUGCACAUAUUCGGGAAGUUCGAUCAAGCCGAAAUUUGGAUAUCGAUAUGCGAAUCGGUGUGCAUUCUGGUUCUUUGAUGGCCGGUGUGAUGGGUGCUGCAAAGCUACAGUACGACAUUUGGGGAGAAGAUGUUAUAAUUGCUGGUAUAUUGGAAUCUACCGGACGGCCAGGCCACAUUCACAUAAGCGAAAGGACUAGCAAAAUGUUAAUCGAUAACCCCUAUGAGCUUCUUCCUGGCACAGAGAAGGCUCUCCAACAUCCUCAACUUGCAAGUAAAAACAUUAAAACUUUUCUUAUUGCGGCACUUGAUUACAAAACAGUCUUGGGAAAUGAACAGUCUUCUCAAGCUCUGGAAACGAUCCAAGAUCUAGAAAUGCAAAAAAAAGAGGCGCUGCGGAUUGAGUUUGAUAAGCUUCCUGUCGGCUCGUUUCACGUCAAGAAUAAGUUUACAACAAUAUUUCGGAAGAAAAGUCGUACCGCCAGUACAGAGCGUGCGACUACACGUCCACAAAUCGGAUUUUUGUUUUUGAACUUUCGCGAUUCCCGAAAAGAGUUGAACUAUAUGAAGCAACCCGACUACAUGUUGAGAUAUAGCGUUCUGUUAGCUUGGUUUGCUGGAAUAUUUCUGGUGUAUCUUGUUAAUAUUAGCCACAAAGCCGACAAGACCAGCGUCAACAACAAUAUUAUUGUUAUGGCGUUACUGACUACGCCGGUGAUCAUCUUGUGGUUCAAGAAGGCUUGCCAUUGGCGAUAUGGGAAUGUUCCGCAUAACUUUACAAAAUGCAGUUGCUUAAUUUUCAAGACAGCCGAGUGCAUACAGUCUAGCCUCAUCAUUCGAAUGGGCAUUUAUAUGAACAUGAUUGUGUGCUACUUCUGGAUUAUUUUUCAGGUCCUGAAUCAAUGUGACUACGACGAAUUCCACCUCCAACUUAUCGAGAGUAAGCUAUACCAUUAUGAAAUGGAUAAAUACAUGUGUUUUUAUCCUUGGGAUCUCACAAACAUGAUGUCUCUCAUGAUUGCCUUAAGCAUAAUAUUCACACGAAUUCCCUGGAUGGUGAAGAUCAUAAAUACGCGCACGGCUUCAAGAUUAUGGCUACUUUAGGAUGUCUCUACUUCAUGGAACGGCAGGCUGAGUUCAAUAGCCGGGUCAACUAUAACUGGAAGUUGGAACUGCUCAAAAAACAGAAUGACGCUGUCAUCACUAAUAAAUCGAUAACUAUUCUGCUGCAGAAUAUUUUACCUGCUCAUG